rnacentral:lncRNA from 1 species
UAUAAGUCAAUUCAGGGGAGAAUUGACAUCUUUAAAAUACUGGGUCAUCUAAUCAGUUCACAUGUUACAAGCUAUUGAGGCACUCCAGAGUGACGGCAUGUGAUCCCCCUGACACAAGAAACAGGCCCAGAUAACACACCGUUCAGACCGACAGCAGUUCUGGUUAUGCUGCAGUACAUCAGACGAGUGCUCUUAUCCAUCCACAGUUCUUAUCACAGUUACUUAUGCAUAUAUUCAUUUUUUAUAUAAAAGAAUCUUGAAUCGGUCACUUAAAUAUUGAAUCUCAAUAAUAAAAAAUACUAAAAGUAUA